UAACACCUAACAGAGAGGGGGGAUAUGAACAAAAGCUGCGCAUGAACGAAGAAAGAAACGAAGAAAUGGGAAGGCUAAAAAGCUAAAGGCUGCGCAGCAGAACAACCCAAAAACAGUGACCCUUUGCCGAAAAUCACCACACCCCGCGCCUGACCUCACGCCGAUCACCCAGGCGCCGACCCUCUACAUCUCCCCGUCAACCCAGCUCGCCGGACAAAACACCAACGACCCCUGAACGUUAAUCGUCAAACGACCCCGUCUCUGUCUGAAACUCGCCGGAAAAACGAGCUCCACCAGCUCGUCGAAUUAACGAGUUCCAGACGCGACAAAUAGAACCAAGCGACCUCACCCAGCUUACCAUCGUCGCUGGACCUCCGUUCACCGCGAAGCUACCAUUUCCGGCGAAGCUUGAUACCAAACGACCUAACCUCACACCACUCUCUUUCACCAAAGCAGCCAAAACUCUCUUUCUUUUCAACGCUAAAAUACAGUCAUUCAAAUUUCAAAAUCCAAAUCGCAGUCUUCUUCACCUGGCGUUUUCUUCACGCUCGCCUUCUUUCAAGAGCUGAGUUCGAGUCCAGGUCCAACGAGAUGAGCCGAGGUUGAUUCCGGUUUGAAUUCGAGGUGACGACGAGGUUUGUUGAGGUUUCCGGCGCCGAUUUCGAUCUUUGUUCGUGUCAAAUAACUGACGCUGCAAAUGUCUGCUGAAGGAUCAUUCUUAAUGAAGAAAGCUUUCUUUUGAAGUUCAUUUGGACGCCCUAUAGCGACGCGCUAAUAGCUAGUUUUCCCGAUUAUUGCUCGACCGGGCGACUUAUGUGGAGUUCUUCCGCCCCGUUCGUAUGUCUCGAUAUUGUCGAGCAUCAUGCCACCGAGCGAGUCCUUCGCCAGUUUGGUCGACCGCAGUAUGUACCUCCACCGCCCGCUUAGGUUAGGACUCAUUACCAGCGGGAUGAUCGUUCGAAGGUUGACCAGGCAUAUGAGUCACGGCUAGAGGCGCAGAUCGAGAGUUGGGACCAGUGGCAUGACCUGAUUCCACCACCCCCUCCAGCCCAUCUUAUGGAUUAUGAGCAUGCGUAUAUCGGCUGGUACCACAACAUUACUUGACUUAUCUUCGGGAAUCCCGUUCAUCACGCUAGAGGUCGAUUCGUUCCAUACGCCAGGAGGCAUGAGGCGUUGGUUAUUGGACGAUAUAUGUUCCACCAGUUGGGACUGCAGAUGCAGUAGCAUGUCGGCGAAGGAGAGGCCGUGAUAAUUAGGGAUUCUAGUUCAUUUCCGUUUUACUUGAGUUUUGAUUAAAAAUGUAUACAAAUAGUCCCAAAAGACUUACAUGUUG